rnacentral:tRNA from 1 species
CGGGAUAUCGGAUAGUGGUAGUCCGCACCCUUGGGGUGGGUGUAGCCCCGGUUCAAUUCCGGGUAUCCCGA